GGACUUGGCGGUACGCGGCGAAAAAGGGGUGUCCUCCCUGAUAAGGAAGAGGUCCCUGGUUCGAGUCCAGGCAGGCCCACCC
rnacentral:tRNA from 1 species